UGGGGAAUAUUGGACAAUGGGCGGAAGCCUGAUCCAGCCAUGCCGCGUGUGUGAAGAAGGCCUUUUGGUUGUAAAGCACUUUAAGCGAGGAGGAGGCUACUUGGAUUAAUACUCUAGGAUAGUGGACGUUACUCGCAGAAUAAGCACCGGCUAACUCUGUGCCAGCAGCCGAGGUAAUACAGAGGGUGCGAGCGUUAAUCGGAUUUACUGGGCGUAAAGCGUGCGUAGGCGGCUUCUUAAGUCGGAUGUGAAAUCCCUGAGCUUAACUUAGGAAUUGCAUUCGAUACUGGGAAGCUAGAGUAUGGGAGAGGAUGGUAGAAUUCCAGGUGUAGCGGUGAAAUGCGUAGAGAUCUGGAGGAAUACCGAUGGCGAAGGCAGCCAUCUGGCCUAAUACUGACGCUGAGGUACGAAAGCAUGGGGAGCAAACAGG
rnacentral:rRNA from 1 species